ensembl:lncRNA
UGUAUUUGGCAGCUAGGGGGGAGGCAGGAUUUGAGGUAGAGUGCAGCUGCAGUGGUUUAUCAAAAAGCCUGAUAGUCUACCUAUUGCUUGAGCUUACUUGUUGGUGAGUGUGUUCAUAUGUCAGUACUUGUAGUUUAGGAUUCUUCAAGGCCUUAACGGCGUAAACCAUAUGGAAUUACAAUAACAUUUUUUCCCCAAACAUUUCUGUGAUCUAUAAAGCAGUCUUCUGAUGCUGGCAGACCAAAAGGAGGUGCUUUCAAAUACACAGCCUUUAAUCUGGAGGAAAUAUAUGCCCAGUUUGUAGCCCUCAUCGCUUCUACAGUGGCUAAUGUUGCUGCUUACAGACAUCCUCAGUCCCGCUGAGAAACAUCUCAGAAAACACAACAUUUUGGAAGGACCCUGAGAAAGACUAUGACAACGUUCUGCAAGAUGUGAAAUCUGGUAGACUGCCUGCUUCCAGUGACCCAGGGACCCUCUCAGGCCUCUGCGAGAUGCUUAUUGGAUGCUGGGAUGAUGUCUUCACAAAAAGAAUUUUAAAGAUUUAAC